rnacentral:rRNA from 1 species
UACGUAGGGUGCAAGCGUUGUCUGGAAUUAUUGGGCGUAAAGAGCUCGUAGGCGGUUUGUCGCGUCUGCUGUGAAAACCCGAGGCUCAACCUCGGGCCUGCAGUGGGUACGGGCAGACUAGAGUGCAGUAGGGGAGACUGGAAUUCCUGGUGUAGCGGUGGAAUGCGCAGAUAUCAGGAGGAACACCGGUGGCGAAGGCGGGUCUCUGGGCUGUAACUGACGCUGGAGGAGCGAAAGCGUGGGUAGCGAACAGG